AGUAUGAAGCAGCAGGGAGAGGGAGAAUGAAGUGUGCUUUCCACUUCUUCAGGUCCUUUCCUUGAUGAAUGGUCUGGAAAUGUAUAAAACAAGGGCAUAGGCAGACCAAGGGGGCACGUUCCACACAAUACUGAGCACAGCAUGUCACUUGUAUCACAUAUUAAACAUCGGUGAAUAUCUUUUUGAUGUUGACACAAGAGUUGGGAUUAUUGUUCGUGGUGCAGGUGGCAGUGGAAUUGCCCGUUUUGAAAGGGGUCUGGGGGAAAGCGCUAUGGUUCAUACCCCCCUCUUCGAUCACCAUAUACUCCGACUUACUCAGAGUCGAGUUACUCCUUGCUUUUCGGAGCUCCUCGGCUGAAGAGGAGAGGUGCUGGCAACUUCCCACGUGCAUGUACUGGGAUUGCUCUUCCCCUUCUGUCUCCCGGUGGUAGAAGUAAUUGAAGUUGGAAACAAUCACGGGAACUGGCAAUGCGAUGGUCAAGACACCGGCGAUGGCACAGAGAGAUCCCACAAUCUUGCCCCCUAUGGUCACUGGGUGCAUAUCGCCGUAACCCACUGUUGUCAUGGUUACCACUGCCCACCAGAAGGCAUCCGGGAUGCUGCUGAAACCUGAAGUGGGGUCGUCUGCCUCGGCAAAGUAGACCGCGCUGGAGAAAAGGAUGACCCCAAUAAAGAGGAAGAAGAUGAGCAAUCCCAGCUCCCGCAUGGACGCCUUCAGCGUUUGCCC
rnacentral:lncRNA from 1 species